rnacentral:lncRNA from 1 species
CAAAAUCAGAAUCAACAUACCUAUACAAGCCUAUCUUUGAGCUACCAUAACACAGGGCCAUAUCUCAAGUACCCUUUAGAUAUCGCAAUAUCCACUUGGCAGCUUCCCAAUGCUCUUUGCCAGGAUUAUUCAUGAAUCUACUGACAACUCUCACUACAUGAGCAAUAUCUGAUCUUGUACAAACCAUAGAAUACAUCAAGCUGCCAAUGGUUGAGGCAUAAGGGACCUUAGCCAUGUAUUCUUUCUCCUCGUGCGUUAUUGCUCCUUGUUCCUUUUUAAUCUGAAAUGAGCUGCUAUUGGGGUGCUAACAGGCUUAGCACUUUCCAUGUUGAAUCUCUUGAGGACUUUACCAAUAUAUUCUUCUCGUGAUAGCUUUAAUCUCUUGUUUACCCUGUCUCUACUAAUUCGCAUUCCAAGAAUUUGUUUUGCCGCACCCAAAUCCUUCAUUUCGAAUUCUUUAGACAACUGCUCUUUUAGCUUAAUAAUUUUAUCCAUACUUGAACCUGCAACAAGCAUAUCAUCUUCAUACAAGAGAAGUAUCAAAUAUGAAGUGUCAAGCCUUUUGUAAUAACAAUAGUGAUCACCAUGGCAUCUAUGGAAGCCUGCAUUUGUCAUGAAGCUAUCAAAUUUCUUAUACCACUGCCUAGGCACCUAUUUUAGACCGUAUAAACUCUUCUUGAGUUUACACACACCAGGUUCUCCUUUCCUGUAACCACAUAGCCUUAGGGUUGAUGCAUAUAAAUAUCCUCCUCCAAAUCACCAUAAAGGAAUGCAGUUUUAAUAUCUAACUGCUCCAAAUGCAAAUCCUAAACUGCCACAAUGCUACUGAUAGUAUAAAUUUUAACAACAGGAGAGAAAAUCUCAGUAUAAUCGAUACCUCCUUUAUGUUGGAAACCUUUUAUGACCAACCUGGCUUUGUAUCAUUUGGUGCCAUUAGGUUCUUCUUUCAAGCGAUAAACCAAUAAUGCAUAUUUUCCUUCGGGCAAUAGAACUAGUUCCCACGCCUGAUUCAUCAAGAGAGAUUCCAUCUCAUCAUUCAUUGCCAGCUCCCACUUUUCCCUCAUCUCAACCUGUAAUGCUUCCUCAUAACACUCAGAUUCACCAUUGUCGAUCAGCAAUAAAUAAUGCAAGGAAGGUGAAUAACAAUCUACAGGCCUAAUAGUUCUUGUAGACCUCCUCACAGGAACUGGGGUUAAUAUCUCUGUGGGUGGUGUCAACUGGACAUUCGUAUCUUGGGGUCUCAACACAUAUUUAUUAGAGAUUUCCUCAAGCUCCACUGUCUCAGGUUCCUUGGUCUUAUCAUCAAGUCUAUCCCUGUACAUGACGGACUCAUUGAACACCACAUCCACGCUUCUAAUUAAAUUUUGAUUUUCAUAAUCCCAAAAUCGAUAACCAUAAUUAUCGAUGCCAUAACUAUUAAAGAUGCAUUUACGAGACUUAGAAUCAAGCUUUUUCCUAUUCUCAGGCUCAAUGUGGACAUAGGAGAUGCAACAAAACAUUCUUAAAUGUGAUAGGUUCACCUCUUUUCCUGUCCACGCCUCCUUUGGGAUUCCGCAAUUCAAGGAAACUGAAGGACCUCUAUUGAUCAAGUAAUCAGUUGUGCUUACUGCAUCUAUCCAAAAUUGUUUUGGUAAACCAGAAUUAAUCCUCAUACUUUUAGCACGUUCUAGGAUUGUUCUGUUAAUGUGUUCUGCAACGCCAUUCUGUCGCGAUUUUCCUGGAAUUGUCAGCACUUGUUGAAUUCCAUUUUCUGCACAAUAUUUCUUCAUUCGACUAUCUAUGUCCUCACCUCCAUUGUCUGACUUGCAUUUCAACUUUAAACCUGUCUCAUUCUCAACUAGGACAUUCCAUUUUUGACGACAUCAAAUAAAUCAAAUUUGUUCUUCAUAAAGUAAACUCAUAGCUUUCUAAUAGCAUCAUUAAUAAAAGUAACAAAAUUGCGAGAGCCAUCAAGAGAUGCUACCUGAGAUGGUCCCCAUACAUCUGUAUGCACCAGCUCCAACCGUUCUGACUUGCGUGUUCUUUGAGCUUUUGUGAAACUAACAAUUUUCUACUUUCCGAAGAUACAAUCUUCACAGAAAUCCAAGUCUAGAGACUUCAAACAUGGUAGUUUUCCUUUUAACAUCAGAACUUUCAUCCCUUUCUCGCUCAUAUGUCCAACUCUACGAUGCCACGUACUUGCCUCGACUUCUGAUGAUGUGAUGGCAAUGGAACUAUGAGAACAAGAAGUAACAUAAAGAGUACCUUCCUUUUUGCCAUGAGCUACCACCAUAGCUCCUUUGGUCAUCUUCCAAGUGUUCCCAACAAAUGUGGUUGUAAUACCGGAGUCAGUAAGUUGACCUACUGAAAUUAGAUUCUUUUGCAAACAUGGCACAUCUGACAUCCUUGAUUCUUAGGACGGUUCCAUUAGGUUGAUUUAUUUGUAUAUCAAAUCUCAUCAUUUCCAAGAUGAACCUUGUCGAGGUUGCUGGUACAUAGUUAUGGAGCAAUUCCUUGUGCGAAGUAGCAUAGAACGACGCACCCGAAUCAAUUACCCAUGUUUCUCCAUGAGCAUCCAUAGCUAAUAACAAUGCAUCAGAAUUUUCACCAUCUGAAACAUUAACAAAGUUUUUGUCUCCUUGGUUGUUUUCUUGCUUCUUUGGUGUUUUGCAAUCUUGCUUUGUAUGACUGGAUUUUCCACAGUUCCAACACUUGCCUUUGAACUUUGGUCGAGAUAGUGAUCGACCAUUUCUUGACCGACUUAUGUUUCGCUUGUGGUUGCUCCUCUAUUUGGCUUUCUACCUCUAUCUUCAGUUGCUAAUGCCAAACCCAAGGUUUCUCCACUAUCUUUUCUACAAGUGUCUUCGUUAAAAACCAAAUCUACAACAUGAUCUGGUUUCAACUUUGCCGAUCCUGUGGAAUUGCUUACUGCCACAACCAAAGGAUUCUAGCUCUCUGGAAGACUUGAUAACAGUGUCAGUGUUUUGACCUCAUCGUCAAAUGAGAUAUCAACCGAUUCCAAUUGACUUAUAAGUGCAUUAAAAUCGUUGAUAUGUUCUAUUGCAACUCCUCCCUCGGACAUCUUUAAGUUGAACAGCUUCUUGAUAAGAUGGACUUUAUUUGUUGCAGAGGGCUUUUCAUACAUUUGCGAUAAAGCAGCCAUCAAACUUUCGGUUGUCUUUUCAUUUCUAAUAUUAAAAGCAACAAAUGAAGCAAGAGUUAGCCUUAUUGUACCUAAGGCUUUACGGUCGAGUAACUCCCACUCUUCAUAUCUACUGGCUUCUUUGACUCUCCUUCAAGAGGAAGGUAAAGGUCCUUUUGGUAGAGGUAAUCUUCUAUUUGCAUCUUCCACAAUCCGAAGUUCGAUUCAUUGAAUUUUUUGAUCUUAACUUUUCCGUCUUCUGCCAUCAUUGAUAUUGUAGCAACUUAGCUAUUGUUGAACACAACUAUUGUUUAUAGGUACACAGGCUCCACCAAUUUUGCUAUAACUUGGUGCUCUGAUACCAAUUGUUAGGAAAGAAUAGCUCAGGAUAAUGAAAAAUAGUAAAACUUGGAUAUAGAUUUCACUAAAUAAUAAUGCGGCUCUAUUAUGAAAUAAGAACAGAGGAUUACAAGAUGAGUUUCAAAUAGGAGUUACAAAUGAGAUAUUAUCUCUCUCAAAAAAAAAAAAAAAAACUCUAUCCAUUCCAAAUCCUCACUUAGUGCUCAAUUGUUUUUAGCACACACUCCUUGAACGUACAUUUCUAAUGAACACGUCCUAAGGCCUAUUUAUAGAUUUUGUAAGGCGGUUUAUCAUUUGACAAAUACAACUUGAACUCCUCCUCUAGAAGUUGAAAAAUCAAAGAUGAACUUGAUCGACCAAUAGGCUUUCUUUCCUUGCUUGACUUGGUAGAUUUACUUGUUUGAAUUUUCUUCUUGGUGGCAAAGAAUAAUUUGAUAA